GACGAACGCUGGCGGCGUGCUUAACACAUGCAAGUCGAACGGAAAGGCCCUGCUUUUGUGGGGUGCUCGAGUGGCGAACGGGUGAGUAACACGUGAGUAACCUGCCCUUGACUUUGGGAUAACUUCAGGCAACUGGGGCUCAUACCGGCUAGGAGCUCCUGCUGCAUGGUGGGGGUUGGAACGUUUCGGCGGUUGGGGAUGGACUCGCGGCGUCUCCGCUUGUUGGUGGGGUAGUGGCUUACCAAGGCUUUGACGGGUAGCCGGCCUGAGAGGGUGACCGGCCACAUUGGGACUGAGAUACGGCCCAGACUCCUACGGGAGGCAGCAGUGGGGAAUAUUGCACAAUGGGCGGAAGCCUGAUGCAGCAACGCCGCGUGCGGGAUGACGGCCUUCGGGUUGUAAACCGCUUUCGCCUGUGACGAAGCGUGAGUGACGGUAAUGGGUAAAGAAGCACCAGCUAACUACGUG
rnacentral:rRNA from 1 species